UGAGCUGAGAUCACACCACUGCACUCCAGCCUGGGCGACACGGCGAGACUCUAUGUCAAAAGAAAAGAAAAGAAAAGAAAAGAAAAGAAAAGGACAAGCAAUUCUUCAAUCUUGGGAUAAAUGAAGACAUUGAUUGGAGUGUCAUAAAACUAAGAUGUGAGAAUUUUUGAAUUAGAAUUUUAAUUUUAAUACCUACUUUCAAGAGGAGGUAAGAACCAAAAGUUUUAAAGGGAAAAGACUGAAGAUGAGCAUGUUUCUUUGAAUUAUAAAACUUGGGUUUAAUACCACUAGACUCUAAAUUUCCAACCCUAGUAAUAUGGAAUAUGCUGUUGGAACUCAACGUGGUCGUUUGCUUAACUUUUUGUUGAUAUAAUCUGAAAUGAUAUUAAAUCUCACUGUGGAGCAUCAUAAAAACAACCUAUUUGUCAGAGAAGAGUAGGACAAUUGUCCUAUUAAAUUGGAAAACUGAAAAAGAAAAUUUAAAAACAGACUUCCAUUAUUGCAUUCAUAUGACAAAUACUUUUUGAGUGUCUGUGUCACUGGGCACUGUACUACCUUGUAACUACCUAGGCAGUCGGGGUAGGGAAUCCUCCUUGGGGAAGUACCCUUUGUAAGGCCAGGCACAGAGAAAAAGGAGGGUAAAGAGUGUGCUAGGUAAUAGGUAGAGGACAUGUACAAAUAGAUGGCUACUGAUUUUCAGUUGAUAACUAUGUCUAAUUAGGUGAAUACCAUCUUAUUCUAGCAAGAGUAUCAGAGUGCGUUCAUUCCUGAGGACCCUUUCCCUGGUGUUGAAACAAAUUAUCUCUAGCCUUCAGUACGAAAUAAAUUCCCUUUUGCUACAUUUCUGCCAAAUCUGAAGAAUCACAAUGGAUGAGUCUCAUGCCUAUUUCAAAAUGGUAUAGAGUCUCUGGGGGUUCAGUAUAUUUAACUUGUUUCCUCAUAAGUGUGACUUCAAGAUAUUGUUUCAUGCUGGAAUUGUAAAUUGUGAUUUAUCCAUUCUCUGUAGAAAUAUUAAAUAAAUCUGAAAAAACUCCAAAA
rnacentral:lncRNA from 1 species